AUGGCCAGGGCCAGCGGCUGGCUCUUCUCCCUCUUCAUGUGCCUCGUCCUUGCAGUCGCCUCGUCCGUCACUGUUGUCUAUCCACAGCCGUGGCCUGUCCCAGCUCCAAAACAGAAAGCCGACUGCUACAAAUCUGUGACGGAGACGCCGCGAAAGUGCGCGGCGCAGGUCCUCCAGGCUCUCCUCUACGGCGACGUGCACAUCACCAAGGACUGCUGCGAGGCGCUCCGCAGAGUCGGCGAAGAAACCUGCAGCAUCUGCCACAUGUGCAGAUCCAUCGGCUAG
rnacentral:rRNA from 1 species